GACGAACGCUGGCGGCAUGCCUAAUACAUGCAAGUCGAGCGGACUUGAAGAGAAGCUUGCUUCUCUGAUGGUUAGCGGCGGACGGGUGAGUAACACGUAGGCAACCUGCCCUCAAGCUUGGGACAACUACCGGAAACGGUAGCUAAUACCGAAUCCUUGUUUUCUUCGCCUGAAGGAAACUGGAAAGCCGGAGCAAUCUGUCACCUUGGGAUGGGCCCGGGGCGCAUUAGCAAGUUGGUGAGGUAACGGCUCAACAAGGCGACGAUGCGUAGCCGACCUGAGAGGGUGAUCGGCCACACUGGGACUGAGACACGGCCCAGACUCCUACGGGAGGCAGCAGUAGGGAAUCUUCCGCAAUGGGCGAAAGCCUGACGGAGCAAUGCCGCGUGAGUGAUGAAGGUUUUCGGAUCGUAAAGCUCUGCUGCCAGGGAAGAACGCUUGGGAGAGUAACUGCUCCCAAGGUGACGGUACCUGAGAAGAAAGCCCCGGCUAACUACGUGCCAGCCGCCGCCGUAA
rnacentral:rRNA from 1 species